GCGCCCGUAGCUCAGCUGGAUAGAGUAAUUGACUACGAAUCAAGAGGUCGGAGGUUCGAAUCCUCCCGGGCGCGCCA
rnacentral:tRNA from 4 species